rnacentral:rRNA from 1 species
UACGAAGGUGGCUAGCGUUGUUCGGAAUUACUGGGCGUAAAGCGCACGUAGGCGGGUGGUUAAGUCAGGGGUGAAAUCCCGGAGCUCAACUCCGGAACUACCUUUGAUACUGGCCAUCUAGAGAUCGGAAGAGGUGAGUGGAAUUCCCAGUGUAGAGGUGAAAUUCGUAGAGAUUGGGAAGAACACCAGUGGCGAAGGCGGCUCACUGGUCCGAUACUGACGCUGAGGUGCGAAAGCGUGGUUAGCAAACAGG